AUUGAACGCUGGCGGCAGGCCUAACACAUGCGAGUCGAGCGGAUGAAGGGAGCUUGCUCCUGGAUUCAGCGGCGGACGGGUGAGUAAUGCCUAGGAAUCUGCCUGGUAGUGGGGGAUAACGUCCGGAAACGGGCGCUAAUACCGCAUACGUCCUGAGGGAGAAAGUGGGGGAUCUUCGGACCUCACGCUAUCAGAUGAGCCUAGGUCGGAUUAGCUAGUUGGUGGGGUAAAGGCCUACCAAGGCGACGAUCCGUAACUGGUCUGAGAGGAUGAUCAGUCACACUGGAACUGAGACACGGUCCAGACUCCUACGGGAGGCAGCAGUGGGGAAUGUUGGACAAUGGGCGAAAGCCUGAUCCAGCCAUGCCGCGUGGGUGAAGAAGGUCUUCGGAUUGUAAAGCACUUUAAGUUGGGAGGAAGGGCAGUAAGUUAAUACCUUGCUGUUUUGACGUUACCAACAGAAUAGGCACCGGCUAACUUCGU
rnacentral:rRNA from 1 species